GAUGAACGCUGGCGGCGUGCCUAAUACAUGCAAGUCGAGCGAACAGACGAGGAGCUUGCUCCUCUGACGUUAGCGGCGGACGGGUGAGUAACACGUAGAUAACCUACCUAUAAGACUGGGAUAACUUCGGGAAACCGGAGCUAAUACCGGAUAAUAUAUUGAACCGCAUGGUUCAAUAGUGAAAGACGGUUUUGCUGUCACUUAUAGAUGGAUCCGCGCCGCAUUAGCUAGUUGGUAAGGUAACGGCUUACCAAGGCAACGAUGCGUAGCCGACCUGAGAGGGUGAUCGGCCACACUGGAACUGAGACACGGUCCAGACUCCUACGGGAGGCAGCAGUAGGGAAUCUUCCGCAAUGGGCGAAAGCUUGACGGAGCAACGCCGCGUGAGUGAUGAAGGUCUUCGGAUCGUAAAACUCUGUUAUUAGGGAAGAACAAAUGUGUAAGUAACUAUGCACGUCUUGACGGUACCUAAUCAGAAAGCCACGGCUAACUACGUG
rnacentral:rRNA from 1 species